UUCAGCGCGGCGUGGCGGCGCUCAGAGCGACGGCGGCCGGCGGGGGAAAGUCCGAUGGGGGUCGAGGCUACGCCGGCAGGGUGCAAGGAGGCAAUGCAGCCUCAAACCUGCCUCAACUCGAGAUGAAGAGAGAGAUAGAGGGAGAGGGAUGGAGAGGGAAGGAGAUCCAGGCUGCGGCGGCGGUUGGCCGGCUGGGGCUCAGUCGGUAACGGCCGUAGUGUGCGGCAGGGGCAGGGAAGAGGGAGAUGGAGGUGGCAGGGUGCGGCUAGGGCAGCUGGGGGCUAGGGUUAGGGUCAGGUGGAUCAAAAACCCCAGGAGCUAAAUAUAUAUAAAGGCUCCGGCUGCAGAAAAGCCCUCCCAAAACUCAGAUAUUUUAUAUUGAGUCCUCCACAGCGCGUGUAAAACACGCGAAUACCCUUCCACGUCCAGUUUCACGGGAAACGGUACAUAAAAUGUCGCAACUUUUGCAGAAAUACCAUUUUGCCAUCACCGACCUCUUUUCGAACAACAGGCGAUCUCCGCAGAUCCGUCCGUCAGAUUUGCGAACGGAUCGCACCAGUGCGAUCAGUACGACAGAGACAACAAAGCUACGAUUUCGUUUCACCUCGAUCGGUCGCGGAUUCGCGACGAAAUCCGUUCCAACUCUCCAACGGAAGAAACUAUGCACAAAUGCAUAUAAAACAUGUAUUUUCUGAUUUCCUCAAAAUCCGUGCGCCAAACUCAAAAUCCGUCAGCGCUAUUAGUUCCAGAACAGUUGAACCAGUCGAAACGAGCUAUUGGACUGCUAUGAACGGUGUCCGAUACGUGCCAGAAGCCAACUUCCCACC
rnacentral:lncRNA from 1 species